GACGAACGCUGGCGGCGUGCUUAACACAUGCAAGUCGAACGGUGAAGCGCCUUCCUUUUUGGUGGGUGUGGAUGAGUGGCGAACGGGUGAGUAAUACGUGAGUAACCUGCCCCCUUCUUCUGGAUAACCGCAUGAAAGUGUGGCUAAUACGGGAUAUUCUGGGUCUGUCGCAUGAUGGGUCUGGGAAAGAUAUUGUUUCGGUGGGGGAUGGGCUCGCGGCCUAUCAGCUUGUUGGUGGGGUGAUGGCCUACCAAGGCGGUGACGGGUAGCCGGCCUGAGAGGGUGGACGGUCACACUGGGACUGAGACACGGCCCAGACUCCUACGGGAGGCAGCAGUGGGGAAUAUUGCACAAUGGGCGCAAGCCUGAUGCAGCGACGCCGCGUGAGGGAUGGAGGCCUUCGGGUUGUGAACCUCUUUCGCCAGUGAAGCAGGCCUGCCUCGUUUGUGGGUGGGUUGACGGUAGCUGGAUAAGAAGCGCCGGCUAACUACGUG
rnacentral:rRNA from 1 species